GCAUCACUCUGUCUACAAUAAGAAUGAUUUGGGGCCAGGAAGUGGAGAAGAGCAGAGCAGGAGGACAGAUCUGGAAUAAAAUCCAAGUGCCACUAGCACUUCCUCUGUCAUCAGCAGCUGAGGCAGCCUGAAUGUCAGCAUUCUCUUAUUGCAGUUGAUUUGUCCUUAAAAACUUCUUCGGAAAGCAGCCAAUGGUUAGACAUGAUCCAUUACAUCAGAUCUCCCUGACAUACAGCUCUAAUGAGCCAGGUUGCGGAUAGUCUAAGAUGUUGCCAUCCAUUCCUGCCCUGCCUUUCCAGGAGGUGACUUGCAUUCAGCAGGAUCAGUAAAUGAGAUCAAUACCUAUAUCCCUAUCAAGUCCAACAGUUAACUUCACAGCAUGACAAGUCUUGGUUUCAGCAGGCUGAAAAUACUGUCCUACCUAAGGAGGAAAAAUGAAAAUCUCUUGUGAUUUGAAGACAACACAAACAUUUUUCAUACCCAUGAAUAAGACUGAAAGACCACGAGCCUGGAGAAGCAGUGUCCUCAAGGAUCUGUACUCAGUUGUCCAGAGCUCCAUACUUCCUCAGCUUCCAUGGAUUUGAACUGUGAAGGAGCUUGGUCUUUUACAGGGAAAGCCAAAGAUAAGUUUCAGUGGAUCUUGAGAAGCAGACAACACAAGAGUAAGAGUAUGUGCACAUGUGCAGACAUACAAGUAUAGAGUGCUCUUGUGGCUGCAGAAACUUGAGGUCAAGACCUCUGAACCACCCCCAACCUGGUACUUCUGUGUAUUUGAAAAGCUUCUGGACAUGUGAUAUUCUCAACUGUCCCCAGCUUGUACAUGGCAAGUUCUUAGUUCUCAGAUACUGCAUUAUAUAGUAUGGCAAGCAUUGCUGUAUACAUGGGGAAACAGAGGAGGAGCAGCUGAGAUGAUCUGCUUAACCAUUAUAGAGGAGACGUAGAAGCUGAGAUUCCUGAAAACCAGUCCAGUGCUCUGGACCCCUUAGUCCUCAAUGCUGCAGGCAUGUCAUUUGGGUAUUAUCCAUUCCACUGAAGUACUGAAAUCCAGGAAAACACAAUCUCUUUUUGGAAGCCCUCAGAAGUACCUUUCUUUCUCUAUUGACCACCACAAAAGCAAAAGUCCGUUGUUCUACUGCACUAGAGCCUCAAUUAAUUUCUCUAUUUCUGUUGCCUGUAAAGUGCCGUUAUUAUUUAACAGUAAGGCCUUCUUCCUCCACAGUGAUAAUAGUGAGUUGUGAUUUAUGAGUAACUUAAUUUCCUUUAGGAUACUCAGGUAGAGAGUUUAAAGCACUCACCCCUACCAGUGAUCCAAAAAAGGGAUCACUUCAAAUGCCAUUUCAUCUCUUACAUUUAAUUUCUUCCCUAACUUGCUUUGCCAGUUUCACAGAAGCAUUUGGGUUGGCAGUGAUCUCUUAAGAUCAUCAAGUCCAACUCCUCUACUCAAGCAGACUCAAGCAGAGCAGGUUGUCCAGGACUGUGUCCGGUUGGGUUUUGAGUAUCUCCAGGUCUCUGCAUUUCAUGCUCUCAAGAAUACUAAUCUGAAAUUGUUAUACUAAACUUACUAUACAGUAGAGCUCCAUUCUCAUGAAGAUAGCUAGGCUUGGUUUUAACUUUAAAUCUGACAUUCUGAUGUUUUUCUAUUUUUAUUUAUCAAAGCUUGCUCUACUACUCAUUAAUACUAAAUACAGCCACAGUGCUUUAUAUACACACAGGAGAACUUAAAUCCUUUUAGUUCUUGAAGUGCGUCAUUUACCAGCUCUUGAUGCACACUAUACGGAGUAAGUCUGACACUUUUUCUGCCUUAUCUUUCCUUUUCUGUGACCAGGAAGCUGCAUGGUUCAGUUUUGCACUGACGACAUGCUGGUAUUCUGCCUUGAAACUGCAAAACUAUUGGCUGCUGAACCAUCAGACCUUGGCUCCCUCCCGAUGAAGGGACUAACCUGUAAUUCAUUCAUACUGGCACUUACCUCUGUGACUAGCGUACCAAGAUGGAAUCCAGGCAGAGCUGCCAGGGUUAGUAGAUAGGUGCUGGGAAAUAACACUUGAUCACAAGUAAUUUGAAGGUGGUUAUUCCUAGAUUUCUAGGAAAGACAUUGCCCGAAUACUAGGCUGCAAGGAACUCUGGUUGAACAGAGGAACACGUCAUGCCUGUAUCCAUUUUAGGAGACAUGCACUCUGGCAUUCUAGCCCUUUUAAUCUCUGGAUUUCUCCAUGGAAUUCUCAUAAUUUCACCAGGAUCAGAUAUUAAAAUGGUAGAGCAGCAAAAAGCAAAGAAUCUGGAGCAACCAUUUGUGCUUUAGGUAGCAGACAAGCAAUGCUGUCUUUCCUUGAACCAGUACCAUUGCUUGCUCUUGAUACCAAGCAAAGGGGUGGCAUGUAAGAACUGCUUACCUCUGCACACAUUUCAAAUACUUGGGAAUGAUGCUUCACAUCAUCUUCACUUGAAAGUUCCUUUAAAUCAUGGCCGGAACAAAAUACAGGUCCUUCAGCUGCAAAGAAUUGCAGGAAAAGUCAGUCUGGUUUAAUCAAGAAACCAGGGGUAGAGGAGUGUCAAUGUCGCAGGGGGAGGUAUGUCAAUGAGGUGUCCAAGGCCAAAAAGGAGCUUGGGUAAGGAGUUCCACAGAGAGUUCCAAAAUACUGCCUUCUGCUUUUUGUAACAACUUUAAUUAAUUCUGUUAAUAAUAGAAUGAGUCAAGCUUCUUAUAAGGAUACUGUUCUAAACAGCUCCUUGGGACAAUGUAAACAAGUCAGCUGGAGCAAGGAUGGAGUGCUCUGCUCUCACACAAAUACCGUUAGUCCCUAUUUAUUGUACCCAGCAUUAAUGAUUAACUUCUGCUAAAUAAGCAUCAAGAUUUUUGUGUCACAGCGCUCAAGGCCACAGUGAAAAAAGGAAAAAAGUUUGUUCUGCUGGAGGAGAACCAGAAGGCUUGUUGGGGCAUUGCUUCCUCUACUGUAAAACUGUCAUCUAGAGAAUCCCAAAAACCACAUCAGGGUUUGUGCAGCAAAAGAGCAGGUUCCUGUGGACCUGAGCUUUAAACUUGAUUGCCACCAGUAGCAGCUAAGAUAAAACACCCUUUACAACAGCUUUCCUUCAGCAUGAGGGUAUCUGCCAUAACAAUAAACCAAUUUGAUGCUUCUGAA